rnacentral:rRNA from 1 species
UACGAGGGCGGCCAGCGGUGUUCGGAUUUACUGGGCGUACAGGGGGCGUAGGUGGUUGGGUAAGCCCCCCGUGAAAACUCCAGGCUUAACCUGGACAGUGCAGAGGGUACUGCCUAGCUAGAGGACGGGAGAGGAGCGCGGAAUUCCCGGUGUAGCGGUGAAAUGCGUAGAGAUCGGGAGGAAGGCCGGUGGCGAAGGCGGCGCUCUGGAACGUUUCUGACACUGAGGCUCGAAAGCGUGGGGAGCAAACAGG